UACAUUUUAUGGAGCUUUCUACAUGAGAAAUCAGGGAUGUACAUAAAAUGGAAAAAUUGAAAAUCUAUCAACCCCACCAUAGAGCUGCCAGAACUUACACAGGAUUGGGGGAGCAGACUCUCGGAGGGCACAAGUUCUGUGUGCACCACGACCCUGGAGAACUAAGCAAUGACUCCACAAGAGACUGACCCAGACUUGCCCGUUUCUUCUGAUAUCAAACUGAAGUCACAAGGACACCAU